rnacentral:pre_miRNA from 1 species
AACACCAGGGAAUCCUAUUUGAGUACAGAUUCUCUUUCAGUAAAGUCUGGAGUGAACUAGACAUUCUGCCUUUCUAACAAGUUCUCUGAUGAUGC